UACGCAGGGGGCUAGCGUUGCUCGGAUUGACUGGGCGUAAAGGGCGCGUAGGCGGUUUGUACAGUCAGACGUGAAAUUCCCGGGCUCAACCUGGGGGCUGCGUUUGAUACGUGCAGACUUGAGUUCGGAAGAGGGUCGUGGAAUUCCCAGUGUAGAGGUGAAAUUCGUAGAUAUUGGGAAGAACACCGGUGGCGAAGGCGGCGACCUGGUCCGAUACUGACGCUGAGGCGCGAAAGCGUGGGGAGCAAACAGG
rnacentral:rRNA from 1 species